rnacentral:rRNA from 1 species
AAUCCUGGCUCAGGAUGAACGCUAGCGGCAGGCCUAAUACAUGCAAGUCGAACGGGAUGGUCGCCUCGGGUGACUUGAGAGUGGCGCACGGGUGCGCAACGCGUAUGCAACCAACCCCCGACAGGCGGAUAGCCGGUGGAAACGCCGGAUAAUACGCCAUGGUUCCCAAACAGGGCAUCCUGGAUGGGAUAAAGCUUUUUGCGGUCGGGGACGGGCAUGCGUCCCAUUAGAUGGUAGGCGGGGUGACGGCCCACCUAGUCGACGAUGGGUAGGGGAUCUGAGAGGACGGUCCCCCACACUGGUACUGAGACACGGACCAGACUCCUGCGGGAGGCAGCAGUAAGGGAUAUUGGUCAAUGGCCGGAAGGCUGAACCAGCCAUGCCGCGUGAGGGAAUGAGGCCCUACGGGUCGUGAACCUCUUUUAUUCGGGGACAAGGACAACCACGGGAUGGUUGUUUGAGGGUACCGAAGGAAUAAGCAUCGGCUAACUCCGUGCCAGCAGCCGC